rnacentral:rRNA from 1 species
CCUACGGGAGACAGCAGUGAGGAAUAUUGGUCAAUGGGCGGAAGCCUGAACCAGCCAAGUCGCGUGAGGGAUGAAGGUACAGAGUAUCGUAAACCUCUUUUGUCAGGGAACAAAGGCGGGGACGUGUCCCCGGAUGAGUGUACCUGAAGAAAAAGCAUCGGCUAACUCCGUGCCAGCAGCCGCGGUAAUACGGAGGAUGCGAGCGUUAUCCGGAUUUAUUGGGUUUAAAGGGUGCGCAGGCGGUCUGUUAAGUCAGCGGUCAAAGCCCGGGGCCCACCCCCGGCCCGCCGUUGAAACUGGCAGUCUCGAGUUGGAGAGAAGUAUGCGGAAUGCGCGGUGUAGCGGUGAAAUGCAUAGAUAUCGCGCAGAACUCCGAUUGCGAAGGCAGCAUGCCGGCUCCACACUGACGCUGAGGCACGAAAGCGUGGGUAUCGAACAGGAUUAGAUACCCGUGUAGUC